UACGUAGGGUCCGAGCGUUGUCCGGAAUUAUUGGGCGUAAAGAGCUCGUAGGCGGUUUGGCGCGUCUGCUGUGAAAUCCCGAGGCUCAACCUCGGGCCUGCAGUGGGUACGGGCAGACUUGAGUGCGGUAGGGGAGAAUGGAAUCCCUGGUGUAGCGGUGGAAUGCGCAGAUAUCAGGAGGAACACCGAUGGCGAAGGCAGUUCUCUGGGCCGUAACUGACGCUGAGGAGCGAAAGCGUGGGGAGCGAACAGG
rnacentral:rRNA from 1 species